AAAUUUUCUAUAGAAUUAGUCUUUAUUUUGGUAAUUUCAAUUAAAAACACUUUGAUGAAAAUCCAAAAGCCAAACCAACAAAAUGUAGGCUUGCUAAGCGCACAAUGGCCAGAUCAUUCCUUGCCUAGCGUGUUGAGGGGAAAACUCAGAAGUUAGAACAUGAGCUCUCAACUAGGUCGCCUAGCGAAAGACUCAUUACAACACAUUGGGAAACACGACCACACUUAAUUUUAACUUUCCUCACUCUUUUUUUAUCACUUCUCACUUCCCCCGUUUGCGAAAAACCUUAACAUAUACUAGAGGAUUUCAAUCAAAGGUAAAAGUUUCACCAAUCUUCAUUUUAAUCUAGUUCAGAGUUUAAUCAGGUAUGUCAAUUUACUUUAUUGUUGCUUAAACUCCCAUAUUCAUGAAUAUUGCUGCAAAAACAAAGUGGAUGUUGUGAUUUAGACAAAAAUUAGGGACACUUUAAAGCUUCAUGGUGUUAAAAUAGGAUAAGGUAGUUUUGAUUACAUGAAAAUCAAUUGGAUGCUCUAUAAUGAAAAUUGGGGGUAUUUUCAUGUGUAGAGAAACAUAUGUAUUGUUUGAAAUAUCCGUUGCAUGUAUAUUAAAAUAGCAUACCUAGAUGUUUCUAUGUCACAAUGUAGUCAUGAAAACUGUAAAUGAAGGAAUUUUAGUUAUACUUGCUAACAUGUCAAAAUUCCAUAUUUGUUGUUUGUUGAUUAUUUCAUAUGGCUUCUGGAAGAUCAUUCAUUGGACAAAAAUGACAUAGCUCAGGCACCAGUUUCAUCUUCCAUACCAUAUGAUGAACAUAGGUUUAGAAGCUUCGUUCACGAGUAAUUUUAGGCUGAACUAGAAAGUAUAAACACCAUUCAUGAAAAGACAAUUGAGUUAGAGGAUCCUGGAAAGUAUUAUGAUAUGAUGCAAUAAAUUAAAACAUGAGGUUGGGGGUGUUUUGGAAACUCUUAAUGAGUUUGUUAAUCUGGAAAUAGUGAAGUAUUUUUAUGUCAACGCCAAACCCGCUAAUGACGCACCACUAGCAAGAGUUUAUUGGGUUCGAGACAGACAAGUCUCGUAUGUUAGGGAUGUCAUCCAUGCUUACAUUGAGGACAACAAUGUGACACACCCUAUAGAUUUGGAUCCAUUUGCAUUAUAAUUAGCAAAAUAAAAUUGGAAAUAUCAUGAAAUAGUCGUUGAUAUUUUUGAAAUAGGGAAAACAUACCAACUGGGACAAAAUAGUCUUCGUGUCCGUUUCAGAAGAUUUUAGCUGACAAUUCAAGCACAUAUAUGGAUAACAUUCCUUGUCAACAAUGUUAUACACGUAAGUCACACCUCUUCUUCUACCUUAAAAACCGCACAACUAAUCUGGUAUAUAUUAAAAGGGAAACAAGUGGACAUUGCCUGAAUAAUAUCCAAUAAAAUUUGGUUGAUUGUGGAUUCUACGAAGAAACGUGUCCUUGGAUUCCUUGGCUUAGUGAUAGGAUUGUGUAGACAUCUAGGUGUUGACAUUUUAGAUCAUCUCAUCUCAUGAAUAUAAUUAUGUUGGAUGAGAAUUUCAUUACACGAUACUGCACAGGACGUAGAGAAAGAGUACCACCACCACCACCACAAGAGCCUCAUGUUACACCUAUUGAACCUCAACUAGAGUCAAUAAGUUUUAAUAUUAUGAAUCUUGCUAUGAAAGCCUAUUUUUCCUAUAGUUGGGAUGUCUCUGAGGCAUACCAUAUAGGUAAGUUGUCUAUUAAUGAUUCUUUGAACAUGUUACAUCUACGAAUGCAGGAGCCACAUGCUUCAUUAGAGCAAGUUCCCACUUAGGACGAGUUUAGCAGCUAUUUGCAAUGGCCUACUGAUAGGUCCUUCCAUUAUGAGUGGGGAAGUGGCCAUGCUAGUAAGAGUGAAGCACUCGAAGCCAUAGCAGGGGAUGAAGAAGAAGCGGGAUAUGAUAACAAUGAUAUUGUUAAUGAGAGUGAUAGACAACUCGACUUCUCCAACAUAUUUCAUUUGGUUGCGAGACUGUGGUUUGAGUCAUAACAAGAAGUUUUCUUACUACAACCAAGCAUGAAGUCUGGCCAAUGUUCUUCGUUUCUGAAGCAGAAGAACUCUGAAAGUUGUGAAUCCAGUGUAUACACAAGCUCGUGAUGUGUAUCAAAAUGUCAUUGUGGAGACAAAGUUGUGAUUCAUAUGCAAUAACUCAUAAAAAAUUUGGAAAGAAUUUUUGGGGUUGUCCAAAUUUUAAGGGAUCCUUACAAAUAGGGUGUGGUUUUUUCAAUUUGUUACAUGAAGAUUUGGGAGAUGAGAAGGGGAAAUUUAUGAUGAAUACGUUGGAAAGCUAGCAAAGGAAAUUGAUGAUGCAAAAAAGGAGUUUGAAAAAGUCAGGGUGAAAAAUGAAGAAUUAGGGAAAGUUGUGAUGGAACUUCAAAUUUAAGUGAACAAGAUCUUAAAGUGGAAAAAACAUGGAAUAUUAUGUUUCUUGUAAUCUUAUGUGUAUUGUUUCUUAGGAUGUUUUAGAAGUAUGUACCAGUUUGUAUGUAUCAGUUUGUAAGGAUGAGGUGGUAUGUAUCAAUUUGUACCAGUUAUCAAUAUCGUUUGAAUCAUUAUAUUGUUAUGGAUGAGUUCGUAUGUAACACAUUGUAUCAGUUUAAUAUGAGAUGGUUUGUUUGGAAGAUUA